UACGUAGGUGACAAGCGUUGUCCGGAUUUACUGGGCGUAAAGAGCGCGCAGGCGGUCGAUCAAGUCGAGUGUGAAAGCCCCCGGCUCAACUGGGGAGGGUCAUUCGAAACUGGUCGACUCGAAGGCAGGAGAGGGUAGCGGAAUUUCCGGUGUAGCGGUGAAAUGCGUAGAUAUCGGAAGGAACAUCAGUGGCGAAGGCGGCUAUCUGGACAACAACUGACACUGAGGCACGAAAGCGUGGGGAGCAAACAGG
rnacentral:rRNA from 1 species